rnacentral:rRNA from 1 species
UACGUAGGGUGCAAGCGUUGUCCGGAAUUAUUGGGCGUAAAGAGCUCGUAGGCGGUUUGUUGCGUCGGCUGUGAAAUCCCGAGGCUCAACCUCGGGUCUGCAGUCGAUACGAGCAAACUAGAGUGUUGCAGGGGAGACUGGAAUUCCUGGUGUAGCGGUGAAAUGCGCAGAUAUCAGGAGGAACACCGGUGGCGAAGGCGGGUCUCUGGGCAACAACUGACGCUGGAGGAGCGAAAGCGU